rnacentral:lncRNA from 1 species
CAGGGGAUGCAUAAGAAGGUGGCAGCCCCAGGAACAGUAUCAUCCUGAUUCCUGCAUGCCAGCUCCAUCCUGCCUGCUGGGCUGUCAGUGCCAUUGGGCCAGUGCUCCCUGCUCCAACACAAGUUUCUUGGAAAUUCUUGGAAAUGUGCUUCCCAAACACUGAUAUCUACAGCCGACAGAGGGGUGAUGCUGAAGGAGCAGCCUUGGCACAUCCUUGCUGGUGAGCAGAGGAAGGGCUGGGAUUGCAAGGACAAAGUCUACAAGUACAAAAUGCAGCUGCACUUGCUGUCAACUGGUAGGAAAUUAAAGCAGUUGCUCUUGUGAGAAAUCAGCCUUGCACCAACAGAAACCAAGCUGUUAGACCAAAUGCAAUCCUGGAUAAAUUUAUCUUGAGAAGCAAGCCGGCAGAGGAAGAUAAAGUCAUCUUAGCAGAGGCUGAGAACACUGUCCAUAGGACGAAAAGCUGCUGUUCCCUUUAUGGCUUGCAGAUUAAAGUUUUCCCUUAAAAAAUCAUUUCCCCCCACUCAAACAUUACCACUAAAAUUUCCCUUGAGUCCCAAGUGCUGAGCAAUAUGUUGUAAUGUACGAACAGAGCUCUCAAUGGAGCCUGCAUUAAAGAAAUAAUAUUGAAGCUUCCUGUUGGACUGAGAGAGGUGCCUAGAAUGAGAGGAAUAUUACAGAUUAUUCUUACUUUACAUAAAUAUGCUUCAUCACCUCUACAGCUAAAACACAAGGCUCUGCAUUUUGAAGAGGAAUGUUUUGGCUAAAACUACAUGGGCUUGGAACAAGUGCAAUCCAGAGGCUCCUGGCUCAGCAGGAAGGGAGGUAAGUCCCUGAGGGCUCUGUGUGCCAAGUCCUCCUGAGAAGCUUUGCCCCAGGGCUUGCCUGCAGUCAGCAAAUCUUCUCCUGCCAGCACAACUACAAAUCCCAGAUGAGCCCAUGAGGAUUGUUGUUCUAAUUAACUAAUGAAGUUGUCUCCUGUUGGGAAGAUGGAUAAUCUGAGCUGGAGGCUUACUCCCUGUUGUGGGGGAAG